GAUGAACGCUGGCGGCGUGCCUAAUACAUGCAAGUCGAGCGAACAGACGAGGGGCUUGCUCCUCUGACGUUAGCGGCGGACGGGUGAGUAACACGUGGAUAACCUACCUAUAAGACUGGGAUAACUUCGGGAAACCGGAGCUAAUACCGGAUAAUAUAUUGAACCGCAUGGUUCAAUAGUGAAAGACGGUUUUGCUGUCACUUAUAGAUGGAUCCGCGCCGCAUUAGCUAGUUGGUAAGGUAACGGCUUACCAAGGCAACGAUGCGUAGCCGACCUGAGAGGGUGGUCGGCCACACUGGAACGUAGACACGGUCCAGACUCCUACGGGAGGCAGCAGUAGGGAAUCUUCCGCAAUGGGCGAAAGCUUGACGGAGCAACGCCGCGUGAGUGAUGAAGGUCUUCGGAUCGUAAAACUCUGUUAUUAGGGAAGAACAAAUGUGUAAGUAACUAUGCACGUCUUGACGGUACCUAAUCAGAAAGCCACGGCUAACUACGUG
rnacentral:rRNA from 1 species